rnacentral:rRNA from 1 species
UACGAAGGGGGCUAGCGUUGCUCGGAACCACUGGGCGUAAAGGGCGCGUAGGCGGCCGAUCAAGUCAGGGGUGAAAGCCUGUGGCUCAACCACAGAAUUGCCUUUGAUACUGUUCGGCUCGAGACCGGAAGAGGUAAGUGGAACUGCGAGUGUAGAGGUGAAAUUCGUAGAUAUUCGCAAGAACACCAGUGGCGAAGGCGGCUUACUGGUCCGGUUCUGACGCUGAGGCGCGAAAGCGUGGGGAGCAAACAGG